rnacentral:rRNA from 1 species
UACGGGGGGGAGCAAGCGUUGUUCGGAUUUACUGGGCGUAAAGGGCGCGUAGGCGGCGUGACAAGUCACUUGUGAAAUCUCCGGGCUUAACUCGGAACGGUCAAGUGAUACUGUCGUGCUAGAGUACAGAAGGGGCAACUGGAAUUCUCGGUGUAGCGGUGAAAUGCGUAGAUAUCGAGAGGAACACCUGCGGCGAAGGCGGGUUGCUGGGCUGAUACUGACGCUGAGGCGCGAAAGCCAGGGAGCGAACGGG